CUAACCUUCCCCUAUUUUUUUUCUCCCCUUGCUUGGUCUUCUUCCCUAAAACCUCAAAGUUCCGAUUCCCUUGCUUCCCCUUGAAAUUACUCUUCGAAUCAAACAUUUCGUCGUAUGAAAUAUGUGAAUUUGUGAAAAAAUCUUCGAGAUAUUCUAAAGAUUGGGCGAUUUCUGGGGUACGUUUCAGAGAUAUGAACCAAAGAUUUUAAAGACAGGAAGGGUGAGUUCGAGAGGGAUUUUACACUGCGAACGAGAACUUCGAAAAGAUUGCUCCGGAUCUCCUUGAGAAAACCAAUGUUACAGAUGUAUCAAGAAUCAUUACACUAGGAGAUAUCAGUGUGUAUAUACAAUAAUACAACCGUGAAGGCUUUGAUGGUCGGGAACGCUUUGAGGAGGCUGUAUUAGGGAACAAAAGGAUUUUUCAAUGUGUACCUCUUGCAAAUUUUCAUCAGUCUUGUUAUGCAAUGGAGAAAAGUUUGUUGUUGUGGCGGUGAAUUUUUUUUUUAAAUUUUGAAAUAGUGGAAUUUUGUAGCUUUUAGAAAGAGUAAAGAUCGAAAAUUUUGGGGGGUGGUUUUGGUUGUAUGGGGAAUAAAUUGGGGAGGAGGCGGCAGGUGGUGGAUGAGAAGUACACUAGGCCUCAGGGAUUGUACCAACACAAAGAUGUGGAUCAGAAGAAGCUUAGGAAGCUGAUUCUAGACUCAAAGCUAGCACCUUGUUACCCUGGGGAUGAUGAUUGUGGCUGUGAUCUUGAGGAAUGUCCCAUUUGCUUCUUGUACUAUCCAAGUCUUAAUCGGUCAAGAUGUUGCAUGAAAGGCAUUUGUACAGAGUGUUUUUUGCAGAUGAAGACUCCAAAUUCUACCCGGCCUACACAAUGUCCGUUCUGUAAAACUUCGAACUAUGCUGUGGAGUAUCGAGGUGUUAAGACGAAGGAGGAGAAAGGCGUGGAGCAACUUGAAGAACAACGAGUUAUAGAAGCCAAAAUAAGGAUGAGGCAACAAGAACUUCAGGAUGAAGAGGAAAGGAUGUUGAAACGAAGAGAAUUCAGUUCUUCUAGCAGUAUGAGAGGACCAACUGAGGUUGAUUAUUGCUCGACUAGAGCACCAUCUUUUGCUUCUGCUAUAGAAAGUGAAGAAAUUGUUGGCUCACAGGAGCCUGAUGCAACUCCAGCAAUCAGACUGCCUCCGUGCCAAAGGCAAAAUAGGGAGGAUGAGUUUGACCUUGAUCUUGAGGACAUAAUGGUUAUGGAAGCGAUUUGGCUGUCUAUUCAGGAAAAUGGCAAAUGCCAAGAACCACCCAAUAGCAAUGCUGCCCAAUCAGAAGAAUACAUGGUAGAAGAGCGGAGCUCCUUAGCAGUAGCUGGCUUAUCAUCGUCAUCUCCUUCUGGUGGACUGGCUUGCGCAAUAGCUGCCCUUGCUGAACGUCAACAGAUGAGUGGAGAGACAUCUAAUAACUAUGGCGGGGAUGUGUCUAUAUAUAACAUGCCCUGCUGUAGCAGGUAUUCCGAUCGGGACGAGCAAGAAUCUGAAAAUCAUUUUCCUGCACAGAGUGCCGUCCCUGAUAGCCCCGUGGCAAUGACCGGGGAUGCUGGAGAAUGGAUUGAUCAUAGAUCCGAGGUGGCUGAAGUAGGAACUAGCUAUGGAGGGUCUGACGAAUUUGACGAUGCAAUAAGCCCUGCUGCACUUCCCCAGCAAGAUGACAAUCAGUGCAACCUUCAACCUGUCACUGGCCCAAUUAUUCCGGAGAGUUUUGAGGAGCAGAUGAUGUUGGCCAUGGCUGUUUCCAUUGCCGAGGCACGAGCCAGGACUAAUACUCCAGGAGUUGCUUGGCACUAGCUCUUGAGAUGAGGUAUUGUUGAAUCCUUUGUCCCACUCUCUCUCUCCAUGGAAACCCGCAACAAAAAAGUGCUUGUUUAUGUUGAACUGCUGUUGAUGGCUAGCAUUAAUUCCUAUACCUAGGAAAAAAAUAUUUCAUCCUCAGUAAGAGUUCCACGUUCGAUUACAAUUGAGGAAAAAAAUAUUUCAUCCUCAGUAAGAGUUCCACGUUCGAUUACAAUUGAGGCCUCAGUAGAGUGGACAAAGUCGCAUUCCACCAGUACGUGUUCUGAAGGCCUUUUUUUUCAAGCAUCAGUUAGGACACAAUGCUACCACCAGUUGCUCUUAAUGUCAAGGAUGGAAGAAAGCCGUCUCUCAUUACUAGUAUCAGUAAGCGGAGGGGGAUGUAGAUAUAUACAUAUGACUUCAUUUCUAGACUCUCGUCAGUUAGGGCACAACGCCACCAUCGUUUCUCUUAUUACAAUGUUAUGGAUGGAAAAAUUCUCUCCGUACUCGUAUCAGGUAAGCGCAAGGGAAUGUAUAUAUGAUCUCAUUGCUGGAAUCCCCUUGUCUGAGGAAAACAUCAUUUCUGGACCGAAUUAUGUCAAAUCUGUUGCUCGUAUUCGAUCGUUUUUGUGCUUUGCUAUAGAAUGCAGCCUUGAAUUCC